GGCCCAGGGCUUCUUUUUCAUUAACGUCUCCUUCUCUUUUCUUCUUUUUUCAUUUGCUAGAUCUAAAUCUCUCUCUUCUCUUCUUUCUCCCAACUACCCAAGGUUAAUCCCUUCUUCUUGGUUUCAAGAUUUGUUUAUUCACCUUUAUGUUUUGUUGGUAUUUUAUCUAGCUUUCUAUUUACUAAUGGUUAAGACAUGAUAUUAUUUGCAGACCGUUUUGACAUAAACUUAUGUUUGUUCUCUUGUAUCUUUGCUGCUAUUUUAUCUCUCUUUAUAGUUAGUAAUGGUUAACUCUUGAUAUUAUUUGCAGAUUAUUUGUACAGAAAUUUAUCUCAAAUUUGUUCUCACUUUUAUCGAAAUUUCCUCAUAAUAGUCCUUUACGUUUAUCCGGAGCGAUGAGCCUUACAACAUUAUUCUCUCUUUCAUCUUCCUUUCUUUUGAUAUAUUUUAUCCAGUAAAUUUUAAUUUAUAAUUACCUUAUGAAAGCAGCAACAUGGUUAAAUGUUGAUAUUAUUUGCAGAUUAUUUGGACAGAAGUUUAUCUACGUUUUGCUCCUUAGAUGACUUGGAACAGGAGCAAGUAAUUGGCUUAAUCCAAACAUUUGACUUUUAUUGCAUUUUAUUCUAGAAUUGACUUUUUAUUUUUUAUUGCCGAUAGGGUUUAUGAAUUGCAAUUACUUUUAUUACAUAUUCUUUGUGAAUGAAUGAAAUUUUUCUUUGAUUGCCUAUUUACGUAGAUUCUUUAUUCCUUUUUGAUUUUCUCAUCCUCUUUAAUUUUUAGGAUUAGGUGAAGUUACACGUUAGAGUUGAUGUCAUGAAACAAUCAAAAUUGAUCUCAUCGUACAAGAACUCAACAAACUAAUCUCUUUUUUCUACAGUUUUGCUCUACUCAAGAAGAGAGGAGUGCUAUUAAGUCAUCACUUAUUCAGUAUGAGAGCUAAGUGAAGAAAAAGGGUAUGUAGAGGUUAAACACUAAAUUCAAUAAGUUGGUUUAGAAUAAUUAAAUCAUUUACUGAAAAUGGCUUGAAUUAUCAGCUUUGUUUGGGUU
rnacentral:lncRNA from 1 species